rnacentral:rRNA from 1 species
GAUGAACGCUGACAGAAUGCUUAACACAUGCAAGUCAACUUGAAUUUGGGUUUUUAACUUAGGUUUGGGUGGCGGACGGGUGAGUAACGCGUAAAGAACUUGCCUCACAGCUAGGGACAACAUUUGGAAACGAAUGCUAAUACCUAAUAUUAUGAUAAUAGGGCAUCCUAUAAUUAUGAAAGCUAUAAGCGCUGUGAGAGAGCUUUGCGUCCCAUUAGCUAGUUGGAGAGGUAACGGCUCACCAAGGCGAUGAUGGGUAGCCGGCCUGAGAGGGUGAUCGGCCACAAGGGGACUGAGACACGGCCCUUACUCAUACGGGAGGCAGCAGUGGGGAAUAUUGGACAAUGGACCGAGAGUCUGAUCAAGCAAUUCUGUGUGCACGAUGAAGUUUUUCGGAAUGUAAAGUGCUUUCAGUUGGGAAGAAACAAAUGACGGUACCAACAGAAGAAGUGACGGCUAAAUACGUG